AGUGAACGCUGGCGGUAGGCCUAACACAUGCAAGUCGAACGGCAGCACAGUAAGAGCUUGCUCUUACGGGUGGCGAGUGGCGGACGGGUGAGGAAUACAUCGGAAUCUACUUUUUCGUGGGGGAUAACGUAGGGAAACUUACGCUAAUACCGCAUACGACCUACGGGUGAAAGCAGGGGAUCUUCGGACCUUGCGCGAUUGAAUGAGCCGAUGUCGGAUUAGCUAGUUGGCGGGGUAAAGGCCCACCAAGGCGACGAUCCGUAGCUGGUCUGAGAGGAUGAUCAGCCACACUGGAACUGAGACACGGUCCAGACUCCUACGGGAGGCAGCAGUGGGGAAUCUUGCGCAAUGGGCGCAAGCCUGAUCCAGCCAUACCGCGUGAGUGAAGAAGGCCUUCGGGUUGUAAAGCCCUGUUGUUGGGAAAGAAAAGCAGCAGGUUAAUACCCCGCUGUUCUGACGGUACCCAAAGAAUAAGCACCGGCUAACUUCGUG
rnacentral:rRNA from 1 species